CCCUUAGAUGUCCUGGGCCGCACGCGCGCUACACUGAUGCAUUCAACGAGUCUACCUUGGCCGAGAGGCCUGGGCAAUCUUGUUAACGUGCAUCGUGAUAGGGAUAGAUUAUUGAAAUUAUUAAUCUUGAACGAGGAAUUCCUAGUAAACGCAGAUCAUCAAUCUGCAUUGAUUACGUCCCUGCCCUUUGUACACACCGCCCGUCGCACCUACCGAUUGGAUGGUCCGGUGAAGCCUCGGGAUUGUGGUUCUUGCCGCUUUAUUGUGGCGUGACCGCGAGAACUUGUCUAAACCUUAUCAUCUAGAGGAAGGUGAAGUCGUAACA
rnacentral:rRNA from 1 species